CCUACGGGACGCAGCAGUGGGGAAUAUUGCACAAUGGGGGAAACCUGAUGCAGCGACGCCGCGUGAGCGAUGAAGUAUUUCGGUAUGUAAAGCUCUAUCAGCAGGGAAGAAAAUGACGGUACCUGACUAAGAAGCCCCGGCUAACUACGUGCCAGCAGCCGCGGUAAUACGUCGGGGGAAAGCGGUAUCCGGAUUUACUGGGGGUAAAGGGAGCGUAGACGGCGAUGCAAGCCAGAUGGGAAAGCCCGGGGCUCAACCCCGGGACUGCAUUUGAAACUGGAUGGCUGGAGUGUCGAAGAGGCAGGCGGAAUUCGUAGGGUAGCGGUGAAAUGCGUAGAUAUUAGGAGGAACACCAGUGGCGAAGGCGGCCUGCUGGGCGAUGACUGACGUUGAGGCUCGAAGGCGUGGGGAGCAAACAGGAUUAGAUACCCUAGUAGUC
rnacentral:rRNA from 1 species